AUGUUGUGUGUGGCGGAUAGGGAUUGCGGCCCCUAGGGUUCCGAGCUCCAGCCGCCCAGCAGAGAGGAUGAACUCUGUCUUUCACUGUCCUUCUGUCGUUCUGUCGUUCUAACGAGUAUUUACCGACCUAACUGGUGCCUGGCACUGAGGGUGCGCCAGAAAUCAGUGAACAGGACCGACCUGGCGCUUUCCCUCCUGAGUUCAAACCUAGCGAUGGACCCUGAAGCAGGAGGCCUCCGGAGCACAAAGCACCUAGACAUUGGGAAGCUGCCCUUAUUUCACAGGAAAACUUUUUUUGUGAAAGUGGAACCAGUGGCCAGCUUUUAAAAAUGCAUCAGGACUUCUGCUUCCAAGAAGAUGGAGUAGAUAUACUUUCCCUUUGUUCUCCCACAAAGUACAACUAAAAACCCUGGACAUCACAUAUAAAACAAGCAUAAGACUGUGGCCUUGUUGGGCACAUUAUAGAGCUUUACUAAUCAAGACAGCACAGUAUUUUCAUAAAUAUAUGCAAACAUAUGAAUGGAAAGAAUAGUGAAUCUAGAAAUAGACCCACAUAUAUUUAGUAAAUUGAUAAAUACUACAAAGCAUUUCAAAGGGAGAGGUAUAAUGUCUAACAAAAGAUGCUGGAAUAAUUAGACAACCAUGUGCAAAAAAGAAAGAGAAAAGAACAUUGGCCCUUACCUCAACCACAUACAAAACAAUUCAAAAUGAAUCAUAAACCAAAAUAGAAAGGCUUAAACUACAAAACUUCUAGAAGAAAGCACAAAAGAAGAUUUUAGUAUGUUUGAGUUUGGUAAGUAUUUCACAAAAACUAUGAAAAAUGGAGAAAAGUCAAUAAAUUGGAAUUCAUUUCUAUUUUUUGCUCUUCAGAGAAGCCCCAUUCAGAAAAUGAGAAAUCAAGCCACUGACUGGGAGACAAUGGUUGCAGAACAUGUAUCUGACAGAAGACUUCUAUCUAAAAUAGAUUUUUAAAAGUUUACAACUCACUAAUAAGUAAGUGAAUAAAAAAUGGGCAAAAUAUUUGAACAGCUACUUCACCAAAGAAGAUACAUGGAUGCUCAAUAUCUUGAUUCAUUAGGGAAAUGCAAAUUAAAACCACAAUGAGCUGGGACCACGCACCAACUAGAAUGGCUAAAAUUAAGAAGACUGACCAUACCAAGUGCUGGAAAGCAUGUGGAAUAAUUAGAACUCUCAUUACUGAUGGGAAUGUUACAUGGUACAUUUUCCAGUGGUACAAAAUGGGACAUAUUUUGGCAGUUUCUUGAAAAGCCAAACAUACAGCUACUAUAGAACCUAGCCUUUCCAUUCCUAAAUAUUUACCCAAGAAAAAUGAAAGUGUAUGUCCACCCAAAGACUUGCACACGAAUGUUCACAGCAGGUUUAUUUUAAUAGCUCCAAACUGGAAAUGACCUAAAUGAUAAAUAAUAAGGGAAUGGAUAUACCAAUUUUAGAAUAUCCAUAUGAUGGGAUAUACUCAGUAAUAAAAAGGAAUGAAAUAUGAAUACAUCUGCCAACAUGAAUGGAUCUCAAAAUAAUUAUGCUGAGUGAAAGAACCCAAUGAGAAAGAAAAAGUAUAUGAUUCCAGUUAUAUAAAAUUUUAGAGAACUCAAGGUAAUCCAUAGUGACAGAUCAAUGAUCAUCUCGGAGUAGGGGAUAGGGAAAGGCCAGAUGAAGAGAUUACACAGGGGUAUGUGGAGCCUGGGGGUGGCAGAUAUGAUCAUUAUCUUAAUUGUGAUGGUUUCAUGCGUAUACGCAUAUAUGAAAACUGACCAAGUUGUACAUUUUUAUAUGUUCAGCUUAUCAUAGGUCACUUAAAUAAAGCUUUAAAAAGAACCCACUACUGAGCUUCAUCAAA